rnacentral:misc_RNA from 1 species
AAGUCGUAACAAGGUUUCCGUAGGUGAACCUGCGGAAGGAUCAUUAAUGAAACUUCAAAAGUCGGCUCGUCGUUCUGUGCUGGUGGGAGAGAUCCCAUAUGUGCACGUCGACGGGUCGCAAAUCCACACACCUGUGCAUCUAUGACUCUGAGUAUCGCCGGCCUCGCCUUGGUGCUCGAGUAACUUUUACACACUCUGCAUGUAAUGGAAUGUCUAUUGUGCAUAAUGUACAACUAAAACAACUUUCAACAACGGAUCUCUUGGCUCUC